rnacentral:rRNA from 1 species
CGGAACGUGCCCAGUCGUGGGGGAUAACGCAGCGAAAGCUGUGCUAAUACCGCAUACGAUCUACGGAUGAAAGCGGGGGAUUCGCAAGGACCUCGCGCGAUUGGAGCGGCUGAUAUCAGAUUAGGUAGUUGGUGAGGUAAAGGCUCACCAAGCCUGCGAUCUGUAGCUGGUCUGAGAGGACGACCAGCCACACUGGAACUGAGACACGGUCCAGACUCCUACGGGAGGCAGCAGUGGGGAAUUUUGGACAAUGGGCGCAAGCCUGAUCCAGCAAUGCCGCGUGCAGGAUGAAGGCCUUCGGGUUGUAAACUGCUUUUGUACGGAACGAAAAGGCUUCUUCUAAUACAGGAGGCUCAUGACGGUACCGUAAGAAUAAGCACCGGCUAACUACGUGCCAGCAGCCGCGGUAAUACGUAGGGUGCAAGCGUUAAUCGGAAUUACUGGGCGUAAAGCGUGCGCAGGCGGUAAUGUAAGACAGAUGUGAAAUCCCCGGGCUCAACCUGGGACCUGCAUUUGUGACUGCAUUGCUGGAGUGCGGCAGAGGGGGAUGGAAUUCCGCGU